GAAGCUUGCUUCUCUUGAGAGCGGCGGACGGGUGAGUAAUGCCUAGGAAUCUGCCUGGUAGUGGGGGAUAACGUUCGGAAACGGACGCUAAUACCGCAUACGUCCUACGGGAGAAAGCAGGGGACCUUCGGGCCUUGCGCUAUCAGAUGAGCCUAGGUCGGAUUAGCUAGUUGGUGGGGUAAUGGCUCACCAAGGCGACGAUCCGUAACUGGUCUGAGAGGAUGAUCAGUCACACUGGAACUGAGACACGGUCCAGACUCCUACGGGAGGCAGCAGUGGGGAAUAUUGGACAAUGGGCGAAAGCCUGAUCCAGCCAUGCCGCGUGUGUGAAGAAGGUCUUCGGAUUGUAAAGCACUUUAAGUUGGGAGGAAGGGUUGUAGAUUAAUACUCUGCAAUUUUGACGUUACCGACA
rnacentral:rRNA from 5 species